rnacentral:tRNA from 1 species
GGGGCAUUAGCUCAGUUGGGAGAGCGCCUGGCUGGCAGCCAUGAGGUCGCCGGUUCGAGCCCGGCAUGCUCCAUCA